GACAGUGGAGAGACAGAUUAUACGGCUCCACACAACUGUUGUUUUAAUCCCCUGGGCGAGGAGAUUUAGCAAAGAAAAAACACUGGCUUUAAACCCAGCAGCCAUAUUGUAUGGAAAAACGACGGAAAGACUCUUCUUCUCAGAAAAAGUCGGUUUCUCAGACAACUCCGUCAAGACUUUUGGGGAGUUUAAUUUUCUUUCUUACUGGCGGUGGGUUUGUGUUGGACAGCUAGCUUGCCAGCUGGCUGAGGAAUUCAGAGAUUGGUUUAGUUUUUGAGCAAUUUGACACAGUAUUGUGGUUAUUGCUUUGGCUUAAAAGUCUUGAAUUAACCGUCUGAAAGAUGAAGGAUCGAUUGGAGCAACUUAAAGCGACGUGUGAUCAGGAUGACGACGAGGUGGAGAUUGCUGUGGACAACGCAGCCUUCAUGGACGAGUUCUUCUCUCAGAUUGAGGACAUCAGGAACAGUAUUGAUAAAAUUGAUGAGAAUGUGGCUGAAGUCAAAAGGCUUUACUCAGUCAUCCUGUCUGCUCCCACCUCAGAUCAGAAAACACAGGAUGACUUGGAGGCAAUCACUAAUGACAUAAAGAAGAUGGCCAACAACGCAAGAAACAAACUCAAGACCAUUGAGAGAAAUCUGGAGUCAGAAGAGCAGGAGAGGGUGUCGGCUGACAUGCGGAUACGUAAAUCACAGCAUGCAGUGCUGUCCAGGAAGUUUGUGGAGGUAAUGACAAAGUAUAAUGAAGCCCAGGUGGACUUCAGGGAGAGGAGUAAAGGACGUAUUCAGAGACAGCUCGAGAUCACUGGAAAAGCAACAACAGAUGAUGAACUGGAGGAGAUGCUGGAGAGUGGCAAUGCUGCUGUGUUCACUGCAGGGAUUGUGGACUCUGGGAUCUCUAAACAAGCCCUGAGUGAGAUUGAAUCCAGACACAAAGACAUUGUCCGUCUGGAAAGUAGCAUCAAGGAGCUGCACGAUAUGUUUGUAGACAUCGCCAUGCUGGUGGAGAGCCAGGGUGACAUAGUAGACAACAUAGAGCAGAAUGUGUCCAAGUCAGUGGACCACAUAGCAGUGGCUCAGGAACAGACCAAAAAAGCUGUAAGGUACCAGACCAAAGCACGUAAGAAAAUGGUGAUAAUUGUGGUGGUUGUGGUGGUCUUGCUGGCCUUACUAGCUCUCAUUAUCGGUUUGUCAGUGGGACUGAAGCAAAGCUGAUGAGCUGUCUGAGUAAGAAGAGAGCUAAGGCACUUGCCUCUGGUCACUGCUGAACAAACAAAGCAGUACUAGAGAAGAUGAUGAUUAUUGGUGCGGUCUGUGCUGUGGUUGUUCUAAUCCUCCUCAUCGUCAUCCUCACACUAUAGCAGGACCUCUGUGCUGCUACCAUCAUGUUUAUUCAUCACCCACAUCAUCCGUCCUACUCUUCAUCAGCUGGCUUCACCAAAGAAAAGAUUGAUACUGGUCACCUCAGAUGGACCAUUAACUUAAAACUGCACCAAGUUUUUUUUUCACUAGUAGAGGGAGGCUUGGUGUUACAUUGGAGAACUGGAAAAAAAAAAAGAGGAUCUACAGGAUUUGUGAGCAUAAAAAAAAAAAGAUUUUUGACCUUUGAAUUUCUUUUUACCAAUCCCAUCUGAACCACCCUUCCUGGUUUGCAUGGGUUUGUUUGGCUCCCUUGGGUAGCUUGGACAGUUUGAGGAUGCUCUGCUGUAAAUGAGGAAAUGAGACUGAAGCUGACAUAAGGUACAAUACCUGUUGUAUCUGCGAAGGCGAAAAGGGAAUUGAAACAUAACCGAUCAUAAUUUCACUUGUGUCACUAAACAUUUCAUUGUUUCAACAUGCAGUGCCAAAGAAUCAGCCGGGAAGUGUUUGUCAUCCGAAAUUUCUUUUACUGUUCAGCAAGUCAGAGCACCUUCCUUAUCUUUAUUUCUUGCCUUUAUGAGCCUUGACACAGUUUUGCGAUUGAAAAGCUUGCUACUGUUUGUUCACUGUAAUGGGAUUUUAUUGGUUUGGAGGAGUUCCAGCCAUUUUACAUUUCAUUACAUUUCUCUAAUUAAGCUCAGAUGAUCAGGUAAAUAACAGAAUUAUUAUGUUUUGUGUUACCAAUAUCUAACCCUGAAUAUGACUUAUUCAACUUGAAGAGGGUUAGUGCUUUCACUCAAUUCUUCAGUUUAGAGAGCACAGUGGUUUUGAUUUUCAAUGUAUGAAGGAUGGUGCUUAAAGAAACACAUUCCGUGGAUAGGCAGAGCUAAGAAAAGCAAACAAGCAAAAAGGUUAGGGGAAGGCUAGGGGGAUAAGCAUGCAUUCCUUGUUUCAAGAUUUAUCUGAACACUGCAACACUAUGACAUCUAUAGACGUGAUCGUUUCCCCCUUUAAAAUUCUGUAAUAAAACAUAAUGUUUAAAUGCCAAAUGAUAUAAAAAGAGACUGGUAGUAACAAUGGUGACUUGGCUUGCUUCCCAAAAGAGUCAAAAUAGUUUUUGUAUUUAUUGUAUGUUUUGAUAAAGUUUUUCUAAUAAAGUCACACAUAGAAGAUGAAGUGUAAAUGGAAACUUUGAGGUCCAGUGUGGUCUCGAUGGCUGGUAGCUCUUUACAACUUACUGGUGUAAACAGGAAGAACAAAAUAUUUGAAAGAGCUCUCAGUUGGUCACUAUCAUUUCAUUAGGCUUUUAUUUUUUAGAUGGAAUAUGUGAAAUCUACAAUUUAUUAAAGCACAGUGUUCAUAUUUGUCACCCUGUGGCUUUAAUAGGGUAAUUAAAGCAGGUGAUUACAGAUGUGCACACUAGGACUGUAUCAGAGAUACCAUUUCCACCAGUUAUCAAAGAGAAGAAGCAAGAUAAUCCAUUUCAGUUAACAGGUAUUGACCAAAGGGGUUUUACAGUGCAACAACAUACUUUGGAAAAUGUCUACUGCGUGAUGAGAGCCACCAUCACUGAAUGAAAUCUUUGUUUCUGUUCCACUGUAGCCUGAAUGGCACAUUUCAUUCUGGUUGUGCACUUGAAAGUAAAAACCCCCUGCCGGCUUGAUCUUUAGACUUCUGCCCACAACUGUUCAGUCCUAAUGCCUCUGUUCAAGGCUUUUUCUUAAGCACAGGCUGCAUUAAGAGAGGAAGAAGAAAACUGUAACUGUUGUAGACUUUUAACUUAAGUGCCAAUGAUUUUAAUGGAGAUUAAAGAUUUUAUGUUUUUUAA